UCCUCUGUAGUAUAGUGGUGAGUAUCCCUGCCUGUCACUCGGGAGACCAGGGUUCGAUUCCCCGAGGGGGAG
rfam:Cricetulus griseus cell line CHO-K1, whole genome shotgun sequence.